UACGUAGGGUGCAAGCGUUAUCCGGAAUUAUUGGGCGUAAAGAGCUCGUAGGCGGUUUGUCGCGUCUGCUGUGAAAACUGGAGGCUCAACCUCCAGCCUGCAGUGGGUACGGGCAGACUAGAGUGCGGUAGGGGAGAUUGGAAUUCCUGGUGUAGCGGUGGAAUGCGCAGAUAUCAGGAGGAACACCGAUGGCGAAGGCAGAUCUCUGGGCCGUAACUGACGCUGAGGAGCGAAAGCGUGGGUAGCAAACGGG
rnacentral:rRNA from 1 species